rnacentral:rRNA from 1 species
UGGCGAGUGGCGAACGGGUGAGUAAUACAUCGGAACGUGCCCAAUCGUGGGGGAUAACGCAGCGAAAGCUGUGCUAAUACCGCAUAAGAUCUACGGAUGAAAGCAGGGGAUCGCAAGACCUUGCGCGAAUGGAGCGGCCGAUGGCAGAUUAGGUAGUUGGUGAGGUAAAGGCUCACCAAGCCUUCGAUCUGUAGCUGGUCUGAGAGGACGACCAGCCACACUGGGACUGAGACACGGCCCAGACUCCUACGGGAGGCAGCAGUGGGGAAUUUUGGACAAUGGGCGAAAGCCUGAUCCAGCCAUGCCGCGUGCAGGAUGAAGGCCUUCGGGUUGUAAACUGCUUUUGUACGGAACGAAAAGUCUCUUUCUAAUAAAGAGGGAUCAUGACGGUACCGUAAGAAUAAGCACCGGCUAACUACGUGCCAGCAGCCGCGGUAAUACGUAGGGUGCAAGCGUUAAUCGGAAUUACUGGGCGUAAAGCGUGCGCAGGCGGUUAUAUAAGACAGUUGUGAAAUCCCCGGGCUCAACCUGGGAACUGCAUCUGUGACUGUAUAGCUAGAGUACGGUAGAGGGGGAUGGAAUUCCGCGUGUAGCAGUGAAAUGCGUAGAUAUGCGGAGGAACACCGAUGGCGAAGGCAAUCCCCUGGACCUGUACUGACGCUCAUGCACGAAAGCGUGGGGAGCAAACAGG